rnacentral:rRNA from 1 species
UACAGAGGUCCCAAGCGUUGUUCGGAUUCACUGGGCGUAAAGGGUGCGUAGGCGGUUUGAUAAGUCUGAUGUGAAAUCCCGCAGCUUAACUGCGGAACUGCAUUGGAUACUGUUUGACUAGAGGAAUGGAGGGGAGACUGGAAUACUUGGUGUAGCAGUGAAAUGCGUAGAUAUCAAGUGGAACACCAGUGGCGAAGGCGAGUCUCUGGACAUUUCCUGACGCUGAGGCACGAAAGCCAGGGGAGCGAACAGG